rnacentral:rRNA from 1 species
UCCAGACUCCUACGGGAGGCAGCAGUGGGGGAUAUUGCACAAUGGGGGAAACCCUGAUGCAGCGACGCCGCGUGAGUGAAGAAGUAUUUCGGUAUGUAAAGCUCUAUCAGCAGGGAAGAAAAUGACAGUACCCGACCAAGAAGCCCCGGCUAACUACGUGCCAGCAGCCGCGGUAAUACGUAGGGGGCGAGCGUUAUCCGGAAUUACUGGGUGUAAAGGGAGCGUAGACGGCGAAGUAAGCCUGAAGUGGAAGCCCGCGGCCCAACCGCGGAACUGCUUUGGGAACUGUUUUGCUGGAGUAUGGGAGGGGUAAGCGGAAUUCCUGGUGUAGCGGUGAAAUGCGUAGAUAUCAGGAGGAACACCGGCGACGAAGGCGGCCUGCUGGACUGAAACUGACGUUGAGGCUCGAAAGCGUGGGGAGCAAACAGGAUUAGAUACCCCAGUACCC